ACUAACUGCUGCAGGAGCAAACAGAAGAAUUCAAGAGAGGUGGAGGAAGAGGAUAAACGAUGACGGGACCGGAGUAGGGCGCGAGAGGCGGAGGAAAACAGUGAGGUCUCAUGGGAGCAUGGGUGCUCAUUUCUGACGCCCCAACUCUUGUGACCUCUGUCCCAUUCCUACGGGUCACCCUCAUCAGGCCACUGAUGCAUAUUCAUUAGCGUAGUGACAUGGCUUUUUAAAGGCUCGUUAGCAUAGUGAGAGUUCAGCAAUAGAGGACAUUUACAUUCAGAGUGGACAGCUCUGUACAGUGUGUGUGUUGGUGUGUGUGCAUCUGUACAUCUGGCGGUAGCUGCAGAACUGUCUCAUAUUGUCUAUGUAUAGAUGAUGUUGCCUGAUUUAGAAACUAAGGAUGUGGUUUCUGCAGCAACACAGAGAUCAAGUUCCGGCCCCGCCCUGUUCACCUUGAGGUACCAGAGAUGCAAAGAGAUACUGUACAGAAGGAGGGAUGAGACACCGGGGUAUAGGGGGGAUGGGCAGGGGACAUAAGGGGAGCUCGACAUAACCUCUGUCUGUGACAUGUAAGAAUAUACACUAUGUUUUUAUUAUGACAAACAUUUUCAAUUUUAGAUGAUCACCCCUUAAAGUGUGCUAUUUUAUUAUUUUUGUGGCACAGUCUGGAGGCCAGCUGACUCAAGCCCAU